rnacentral:lncRNA from 1 species
UUUCAUCGGAGACGCUGUCCGUGAAUGUUUGGUCGUUUGGUUCAGUCUUGCUGGAAACUCCCUGACAUUUUUCGGCUCAAAAUGCCUGGAUGAAGUCCAAGCUACAGUCAUAGCAUUACUUGUACUUGAUAGCUGCUGUGGAAUUAAGGUUUUCAUGGAUGGUUUGAUGAUUGAGCUGUUUUGUUGUGGCUGUUUGGGGUGCAGUGGUUCUCCUGUAGAGAUGCGUAGAAAUGGAGCUUGUGCAGGCUUGAUGUUUAAUGGGGGCAACUUCCCGGUGUUAGCAACAUGACGGCCGUAAGCUUAUGUCGCUUACGUCAUUUCUGCUGCGGGUGCUGUUAGUUACGGUGUUCGUGAUCAGUGCCGUCAACUUCAACAUUCUUCUUCACAAAUCUCCUCAAGAUUCAUUGUCAAAAUUUGAUUGCUGAGGUUUUUGAAAAACAGUGAAAGUACUUCAGCUUAAUUCCUAUAUUCUUUGGGUCUUGCCUGUGAUCCACAUCUGUUCUUGACAUUUGAAGUUUUUCCCCUGUAGGCUUUGUUGGCUAAUUGUUGGAUGGAUUAAUGGCUUGGUGAAGUUGAGCUUUUUCAAGGCAGUCCAAUGUCCACUUGUAUUUGUUGCAGCCAGCUGGUUAAUGGUAUGGUGAACUGUUGUAUGAAGACCAUCCACUGUUGUGAUGAGCAUCUGCAUGCAGUCUGUGGUGCUGGUGAGAGAAGUGCUGUAUGCUGUCAGUAGAGUGUGGUGCCAGCUUUAAAUUUGAAGGACUCACUGCCUUAACAACUGAGUGUCUGAAUCAUUAAUUUUAUAAUUGUGAGCAUAAGAUAGAAUUUCAAUUCUUUUAUGUACUUUGUUUUAAAGUCAGUUUGAGUUAUAUUGGUGUCAAUUUGUUGUGCAGAAAUGUUUG